UUUCCGUAGGUGAACCUGCGGAAGGAUCAUUGCACACACAAAAGUUGCAGCAAACCCCCUUGCGAAUUUCAUGAUUGUCCCCCUUGUGUUUUGGGGGGCCGGGGCAUCGUUGUCCCGGCCUGCCGAACACACCCAAGUCCCCCCUUAUACGGGGAGAGAUUUGGGGCUCCCUAAACAGGGGCCCCUUGUCCCCCUCCCUUUUGGGGUGUGACUUGGUAACCAAACCGAUUGCGCAAUGCAUCAACACUUUCAAUAUGACUGAGUAUAAAAUCGGGAUGCUGCCGCUUGCGAAGGUGGUGGCAUCCCCGAGUUGUAAUAAACAAAAACAACUCUCAGCAACGGAUAUCUUGGCUCUU
rnacentral:misc_RNA from 1 species